GGCGCUAUAGUGUAGUGGUUAUCACUUGGGAUUCUGAUUCAUCGUCAUCUUCCCAAAACCCAGGUUCGAGCCCUGGUAGCGCCU